rnacentral:rRNA from 1 species
GCCCGAGCGUCCAUAGCGACGGCAUGGUUUGGCACCUCGAUGUCGGCUCGUCGCAUCCUGGGGCUGAAGUCGGUCCCAAGGGUUGGGCUGUUCGCCCAUUAAAGCGGCACGCGAGCUGGGUUUAGAACGUCGUGAGACAGUUCGGUCCCUAUCCGCUGCGCGCGUAGGAGUCUUGAGAAAAGCUGACCUUAGUACGAGAGGACCGGGUCGGACUAACCUCUGGUGUGCCAGUUGUUUACCAAAAGCACGGCUGGUUGGCUACGUUGGGACGUGAUAACCGCUGAAAGCAUCUAAGCGGGAAGCACAUUUCAAGAUGAGGACUCCCACAGAUUAAUCUGGUAAGGCCCCUUGUAGACCACAAGGUGAUAGGUCGGAUGUGGAAGUACAGCAAUGUAUGGAGCUGACCGAUACUAAUAGGCCGAGGGCUUGUUUCUACA